rnacentral:rRNA from 1 species
AGAGUUUGAUCCUGGCUCAGAUUGAACGCUGGCGGCAGGCUUAACACAUGCAAGUCGAGCGGAAACGAUGAUAGCUUGCUAUCAGGCGUCGAGCGGCGGACGGGUGAGUAAUACUUAGGAAUCUACCUAGUAGUGGGGGAUAGCACGGGGAAACUCGUAUUAAUACCGCAUACGACCUACGGGAGAAAGGGGGCAGUUUACUGCUCUCGCUAUUAGAUGAGCCUAAGUCGGAUUAGCUAGAUGGUGGGGUAAAGGCCUACCAUGGCGACGAUCUGUAGCUGGUCUGAGAGGAUGAUCAGCCACACCGGGACUGAGACACGGCCCGGACUCCUACGGGAGGCAGCAGUGGGGAAUAUUGGACAAUGGGGGAAACCCUGAUCCAGCCAUGCCGCGUGUGUGAAGAAGGCCUUUUGGUUGUAAAGCACUUUAAGCAGUGAAGAAGACUCCAUGGUUAAUACCCAUGGACGAUGACAUUAGCUGCAGAGUAAGCACCGGCUAACUCUGUGCCAGCAGCCGCGGUAAUACAGAGGGUGCAAGCGUUAAUCGGAAUUACUGGGCGUAAAGGGAGCGUAGGUGGCUCGAUAAGUCAGAUGUGAAAUCCCCGGGCUCAACCUGGGAACUGCAUCUGAUACUGUUGAGCUAGAGUAUGUGAGAGGAAGGUAGAAUUCCAGGUGUAGCGGUGAAAUGCGUAGAGAUCUGGAGGAAUACCGAUGGCGAAGGCAGCCUUCUGGCAUAAUACUGACACUGAGGCUCGAAAGCGUGGGUAGCAAACAGGAUUAGAUACCCUGGUAGUCCACGCCGUAAACGAUGUCUACUAGUCGUUGGGUCCCUUGAGGACUUAGUGACGCAGCUAACGCAAUAAGUAGACCGCCUGGGGAGUACGGCCGCAAGGUUAAAACUCAAAUGAAUUGACGGGGGCCCGCACAAGCGGUGGAGCAUGUGGUUUAAUUCGAUG